UACAGAGGGUGCAAGCGUUAAUCGGAAUUACUGGGCGUAAAGCGAGCGUAGUCGGUUAUUUAAGUCGGGUGUGAAAUCCCCGGGCUCAACCCGGGAACUGCGUCCGAUACUGGCAGGCUUGAAUCCGGGAGAGGGAUGCGGAAUUCCAGGUGUAGCGGUGAAAUGCGUAGAUAUCUGGAGGAACACCGGUGGCGAAGGCGGCAUCCUGGACCGGCAUUGACGCUGAGGCGCGAAGGCCAGGGGAGCAAACGGG
rnacentral:rRNA from 1 species